rnacentral:rRNA from 1 species
CUCCUACGGGAGGCAGCAGUGGGGAAUUUUUCGCAAUGGGCGCAAGCCUGACGAAGCAACGCCGCGUGGAGGAUGAAGGUCUUCGGAUUGUAAACUCCUGUCGACCGGGACGAAUGCACUCGACCUAAUACGUCGGAAUGUUGACGGUACCGGUGGAGGAAGCCACGGCUAACUCUGUGCCAGCAGCCGCGGUAAUACAGAGGUGGCAAGCGUUGUUCGGAAUUACUGGGCGUAAAGGGCGCGUAGGCGGCCUUAUAAGUCUCGUGUGAAAGCCCUCGGCUUAACUGAGGAUCUGUACGGGAUACUGUAAGGCUCGAGUUCGGGAGAGGAAAGCGGAAUUCCGGGUGUAGCGGUGAAAUGCGUAGAUAUCCGGAGGAACACCAGUGGCGAAGGCGGCUUUCUGGACCGACACUGACGCUGAGGCGCGAAAGCUAGGGGAGCAAACGGGAUUAGAUACCCCGGUAGUCCUAGCUGUAAACGAUGAUCGCUGGGUGUAGGGGGUUUUUACUCCCCCUGUGCCGAAGCUAACGCAUAAGC